rnacentral:rRNA from 1 species
GAUGAACGCUGGCGGCGUGCCUAAUACAUGCAAGUCGAGCGAACGGACGAGAAGCUUGCUUCUCUGAUGUUAGCGGCGGACGGGUGAGUAACACGUGGAUAACCUACCUAUAAGACUGGGAUAACUUCGGGAAACCGGAGCUAAUACCGGAUGAUAUUUUGAACCGCAUGGUUCAAAAGUGAAAGACGGUCUUGCUGUCACUUAUAGAUGGAUCCGCGCUGCAUUAGCUAGUUGGUAAGGUAACGGCUUACCAAGGCAACGAUGCAUAGCCGACCUGAGAGGGUGAUCGGCCACACUGGAACUGAGACAUGGUCCAGACUCCUACGGGAGGCAGCAGUAGGGAAUCUUCCGCAAUGGGCGAAAGCCUGACGGAGCAACGCCGCGUGAGUGAUGAAGGUCUUCGGAUCGUAAAACUCUGUUAUUAGGGAAGAACAUAUGUGUAAGUAACUGUGCACAUCUUGACGGUACCUAAUCAGAAAGCCACGGCUAACUACGU